rfam:Candidatus Saccharibacteria bacterium RIFCSPLOWO2_01_FTLL_48_13 rifcsplowo2_01_scaffold_32202, whole genome shotgun sequence.
UUUUUGGAGAGUUUGAUCCUGGCUCAGGAUUAACGCUGGCGGCGUGCCUAAUACAUGCAAGUCGAACGACGGGUGCUUCGCACCGUCGAGCUAAGAGUCCACGGCUAAGAGCUAAGAGCAUUAUUUGCUCUCAGCUCUAAGCUUUAAGCUCUCAGCUCGGUAGUGCGGAGCGCGACGGAGUGGCGGACGGCAGAGUAACGCGUAGGAACGUACCCCGAAGUGAGGGAUAAGCACCGGAAACGGUGUCUAAUACCGCAUGCGGUGCUUCUCAUCAAGACUCGAAGCAUUUAACACUUCACAUUUGUCAUUUAACAUUAAUUUCACAUUGAUCAUUGGCCAUUUCCGGCAAUGAAAAAUGAAAACUGAUAAAUAAAUGUAAAUUGUGAAUUGAAAAAUGGUAAAUUCGGGCUUUGAUGAGGAGCAUCAAAGCCGCAAGGCGCUUUGGGAGCGGCCUACGUCCGAUUAGCUUGUUGGUGAGGUAAUAGCUCACCAAGGCGACGAUCGGUAGCUGGUCUGAGAGGAUGACCAGCCUGACUGGGACUGAGAACGGCCCAGACUCCUACGGGAGGCAGCAGUAGGGAAUCUUGCGCAAUGGACGAAAGUCUGACGCAGCAACGCCGCGUGCAGGAGGAAGGCCUUCGGGUCGUAAACUGCUUUUAUAUGUGACGAUUUUGACGGUAGCAUGUGAAUAAGGAUCGGCUAACUCCGUGCCAGCAGCCGCGGUCAAACGGAGGAUCCAAGCGUUAUCCGGAAUUACUGGGCGUAAAGAGUUGCGU